rnacentral:snRNA from 1 species
AUACUUACCUGGUAGGGGAGAUACCAUGAUCACGAAGGUGGUUUUCCCAGGGCGAGGCUUAUCCAUUGCACUCCGGAUAUGCUGACCCCUGCAAUUUCCCCAAAUGUGGGAAACUUGACUGCAUAAUUUGUGGUAGUGGGGGACUGCAUUCGCACUUUUCCCUA